AAUUUUUUCACCACGCAGUAUCGAUCCAUCGCAACGCACAUCAUCGAUAGAGUGGCUGAUGAUACGGGAAGAGACUGCAAUGAUAACAAUAAUGGAGAAAUCAACGGUCAGGAAAUUUAGACAAGGCGUCUUCACUUGAAACCUUUGACAUUGUAUUGUCCGCCAGAAACACGUGUACUAAUCAUAAGGCUAUCUAAUACAAGAGUUAAUCAAAAUUUACUCUUAUCGUCUAAAGAAAUUUGAUGAAGUUGAUGUCUCCGACAAAAUUAUAAUAAAAACCCAAACUGAUAUAAACAUUUCUGGUCGGGGGUGAAUGAUCACUCUCACAGAGAGACACAUACAGUGGCACAUCACUCACCGACACACUCAUGUGUACACACCGAUACACACAUAGACUCACACCACUGAACACAUACACAAACGGACACACCUCUCGACCACAGAUACGCAUAAAGACACACAUAUAUACAUUUGUACAAACACGAACACAAACUUAUAUGAGCCUAUCGCUCUUUGUUCUUUAGAUUUGAUAUUGAUGCCAGCUUACGGUCGGAGGCAAAUAAGUAUACGGCCUUUUUCAGUGUUGCGAAAGCUUUUUGCAUUAUCAUAUAUACUUACUAUUAUUUAAGGAUUUUCUAAGCUAAGCUAAACAGCAAAAGUAUUUCUUGGAAGAUCGUAGAUGGGUCAACGUCGGAAGAACCUCUACAAGAACUCCCUUGCCGAUAUCAGCAUUUUAAUAGCAGCCUUCUGUCAACUAGUUAUUCGGAUUUGAAGGACAAACAACCCUUAAGCACUCGUCGAUCCAGUUCACCAUCGCGUUCCAGAGGGCCAGGAAAAGGGGCCAGCACAGAAAUCGCCAGUAAUAAAUUGAAAUGUAC